UACGGAGGGUGCGAGCGUUGUCCGGAAUCACUGGGCGUAAAGGGCGCGUAGGCGGCUUGGUAAGUCGGGGGUGAAAGUCAGCGGCUCAACCGCUGGACUGCCUUCGAGACUGCCUGGCUUGAGCAUGGUAGAGGCUGGCGGAAUUCCCGGUGUAGCGGUGGAAUGCGUAGAGAUCGGGAAGAACAUCGGUGGCGAAGGCGGCCAGCUGGGCCAUUGCUGACGCUGAUGCGCGACAGCGUGGGGAGCAAACAGG
rnacentral:rRNA from 1 species